AGCAGCCGCGGUAAUUCCAGCUCCAAUAGCAUAUAUUAAAGUUGUUGCAGUUAAGAAGCUCGUAGUUGAAUUUCGGGGUUAGCAAGUUGGUCGUGCCUUCGGUAUGUACUGGCUUUGCUGAUUCCUCCUUCUUGAAGAACUGUGAUGCUAUUAAUUUGGUGUUGCGGGGAAACAGGACUGUUACUUUGAAAAAAUUAGAGUGUUUAAAGCAGGCUAACGCUUGAAUACAUUAGCAUGGAAUAAUGAAAUAGGACGUUUGAUCCUAUUUUGUUGGUUUCUAGGAUUGACGUAAUGAUUAAUAGGGAUAGUUGGGGGCAUUAGUAUUCAAUUGUCAGAGGUGAAAUUCUUGGAUUUAUUGAAGACUAACUACUGCGAAAGCAUUUGCCAAGGAUGUUUUCAUUAAUCAAGAACGAAAGUUAGGGGAUCGAAGACGAUCAGAUACCGUCGUAG
rnacentral:rRNA from 1 species